UGUCACGAACGUCACGAACAGACAUGUUUAGCGGAUCAGCGACCUCUUUGAGUGUGCUGGUCUCCCGUUCACGAAACUCGUAAAUUAAACGCCUACGAGACAUUGAUCGACAUGAUCGACAUUGAUAGGCAGGUCAUCUUAAUGCAACAGGUUGUUUUGGUAGGAAAUUGGAAGGCAGAAGAUUUGCAGGAGUUUGAUGGCAUCGCUGUGGAGAAUCACACUUGACCAUUUUAGCCAGCUGGAACAAGGAGGUCCUGUGUGGACACUCGCUUUUGGCGCUGGAGGGGCAUCAGUGGAUUGCUGUCUAAGCUGCCAAAGGAUGUGAUGGGUCUGGGCUUAACAAGGAGGAUCCAGGAGGGGGCCCCCUCCUUCUCUUCUGCAUCCCACCUACGGGGCGUGCAUGUCACUGGGUGCUAGCAGUGAGGAGUCUUUGAAGCAAAGCGCCAGGAGGGAUACUGUCCAACAUCAAGACUGAGCCCAAUGACAGCGAACUGGAGCUUCAUAUAGCCCUCAAGAAAGCAUGGAGACUGAAGCUGCAGGAGGCUGUUACAGAAUCAAAGAGCAGUGUAGAAAAGGUGGCAGAGUCAGUACUGGAGAGACUCAGAAGGAAAUAUGGAAGGUGGUUCCAUUGUGCUGAAUGCUACUGCAGAAUUCUGCUGUACGUUGGGUGACGUCCCCAUUUAUGGUUUGGCUGGCAACAGGGAUGAGGACGCUCAGGAACUACUUGAAUUUGAGAGGCAAAUGAUUGAAGAGAAGAAACGUCAGGAAGAAGGCAAACGUGGAGCUUGGAAUGAAGUUGAGAUUUAGAUGAUGAAAAGUUUGGGCGUUGCGAGCGCUACAGUGGUCUGACCUCAGACUUCAAAGAAAAGGAGGGCUACAAACCAAAUGUUAAACUCGACUACAUAGAUGAUGAUGGACACGUAUUUAAUGCAAAGGAGGCUUUCAGAUACCUGUCUCAUGAAUUUCAUGGAAAGGUACCUGGCAAAAAUAAAGUGGAGAAACGAAUGAAGAAAACUGAACAGGAGGGAGUGAGUAUCAGUCCAGAUCUGGUCAUGAGCUCUUAUUUCUAAU